GACGAACUGUCCUAACGUUGUUCGGAAUUACUGGGCGUAAAGGGCGCGUAGGCGGUCCUUCAAGUCAGGCGUGAAAGCCCCGGGCUCAACCUGGGAACCGCGCUUGAGACUGAUGGGCUAGAGUUCGGGAGAGGAUGGUGGAAUUCCCAGUGUAGAGGUGAAAUUCGUAGAUAUUGGGAAGAACACCGGUGGCGAAGGCGGCAUCCUGGACCAGUUACUGACA
rnacentral:rRNA from 1 species